rnacentral:rRNA from 1 species
GAUGAACGCUAGCGGCAGGCUUAACACAUGCAAGUCGAGGGGCAGCAUGACGGAACCUUCGGGUUUUGUUGAUGGCGACCGGCGCAAGGGUGCGUAACGCGUGAGCAACUUGCCCGUUUCAGGGGGGAUAACCGGUGGAAACGCCGACUAAUACCCCAUAGCAUCACAUUGAGGCAUCUUUAUGUGAUUAAAGAAUUUCGGAAACGGAUAGGCUCGCGUGACAUUAGCUAGAUGGCGGGGUAACGGCCCACCAUGGCGACGAUCGGUAGCCGGACUGAGAGGUUGAACGGCCACAUUGGGACUGAGACACGGCCCAUACUCCUACGGGAGGCAGCAGUAGGGAAUUUUGCGCAAUGGGCGAAAGCCUGACGCAGCAACGCCGCGUGAUUGAUGAAGGUUUUCGGACCGUAAAGCUCUUUGUUAUGACGAAUGUGCAUGAUGUGAAUAAUGUUGUGUAAUGACGGUAGUAAACGAUAAGCCACGGCUAACU